rnacentral:rRNA from 1 species
UACGUAGGGUGCGAGCGUUGUCCGGAAUUACUGGGCGUAAAGGGUGCGUAGGUGGCGCGGUAAGUCGGGUGUGAAAUCUCGGAGCUUAACUCCGAAAUUGCAUUCGAUACUGCCGUGCUUGAGGACUGGAGAGGAGACUGGAAUUCAUGGUGUAGCAGUGAAAUGCGUAGAGAUCAUGAGGAAGACCAGUGGCGAAGGCGGGUCUCUGGACAGUUCCUGACACUGAGGCACGAAGGCCAGGGAGCAAACGGG